AGCAGCCGCGGUAAUUCCAGCUCCAAUAGCGUAUAUUAAAGUUGUUGCAGUUAAAAAGCUCGUAGUUGAAUUUCGGGAUCAGUACGCUGGUCGUGCCUCCGGUAUGUACUGGUGUCACUGAUUCCUCCCUUCUGACGAACUAUCAUGCCAUUAAUUUGGUGUGGUGGGGAAUCAGGACUGUUACUUUGAAAAAAUUAGAGUGUUUAAAGCAGGCUCACGCUUGAAUACAUUAGCAUGGAAUAAUGAAAUAGGACGUUGAUCCUAUUUUGUUGGUUUCUAGGAUUGACGUAAUGAUUAAUAGGGAUAGUUGGGGGCAUUAGUAUUCAAUUGUCAGAGGUGAAAUUCUUGGAUUUAUUGAAGACUAACUACUGCGAAAGCAUUUGCCAAGGAUGUUUUCAUUAAUCAAGAACGAAAGUUAGGGGAUCGAAGACGAUCAGAUACCGUCGUAGUCUUAACCAUAAACUAUGCCGACUAGGGAUCGGAUGAUGUUAAUUUUUUAAUGUACUCU
rnacentral:rRNA from 1 species